GUCUACAGCCAUACCACCCUGAACUUGCCUUAUCUCGUCUGAUCUCGUAAGGUAAGCAGGGUCGGGCCUGGUUAGUACUUGGGUGGGAGACCGCCUGGAAAUACUGGGGGCUCUAGUCU
rnacentral:rRNA from 1 species